rnacentral:lncRNA from 1 species
UGGAAACUAAGAAGCGGGCUACUGCCUAACAGACUAACUCCUCUUACCUUGGAUCUAAUACUACUGAUGCGGGUCCUCGCUCUACCUUAUUUUGACUCGUUAUAACGUAUUUAUUGGUUGCUCGGCUGCCACACAACACUAACCAGUACAUGCUCUUAACCCACCCAGGGAUCUUUCUCACCAACCUAUAGUGCUAUUUCCUUUAAGAAUAGAGUUUC